GAUGAACGCUGGCGGCGUGCCUAAUACAUGCAAGUCGAGCGAACAGACGAGGAGCUUGCUCCUCUGACGUUAGCGGCGGACGGGUGGGUAACACGUGGAUAACCUACCUAUAAGACUGGGAUAACUUCGGGAAACCGGAGCUAAUACCGGAUAAUAUGUUGAACCGCAUGGUUCAAUAGUGAAAGACGGUUUUGCUGUCACUUAUAGAUGGAUCCGCGCCGCAUUAGCUAGUUGGUAAGGUAACGGCUUACCAAGGCAACGAUGCGUAGCCGACCUGAGAGGGUGAUCGGCCACACUGGAACUGAGACACGGUCCAGACUCCUACGGGAGGCAGCAGUAGGGAAUCUUCCGCAAUGGGCGAAAGCCUGACGGAGCAACGCCGCGUGAGUGAUGAAGGUCUUCGGAUCGUAAAACUCUGUUAUUAGGGAAGAACAAAUGUGUAAGUAACUAUGCACGUCUUGACGGUACCUAAUCAGAAAGCCACGGCUAACUACGUG
rnacentral:rRNA from 1 species